rnacentral:rRNA from 1 species
AAGAGUCGAACGAGAGAAUUGCUAGCUUGCUAAUAAUUCUCUAGUGGCGCACGGGUGAGUAACACGUGAGUAACCUGCCCCCGAGAGCGGGAUAGCCCUGGGAAACUGGGAUUAAUACCGCAUAGUAUCGAAAGAUUAAAGCAGCAAUGCGCUUGGGGAUGGGCUCGCGGCCUAUUAGUUAGUUGGUGAGGUAACGGCUCACCAAGGCGAUGACGGGUAGCCGGUCUGAGAGGAUGUCCGGCCACACUGGAACUGAGACACGGUCCAGACACCUACGGGUGGCAGCAGUCGAGAAUCAUUCACAAUGGGGGAAACCCUGAUGGUGCGACGCCGCGUGGGGGAAUGAAGGUCUUCGGAUUGUAAACCCCUGUCAUGUGGGAGCAAAUUAAAAAGAUAGUACCACAAGAGGAAGAGACGGCUAACUCUGUGCCAGCAGCCGCGGUAAUACAGAGGUCUCAAGCGUUGUUCGGAAUCACUGGGCGUAAAGCGUGCGUAGGCUGUUUCGUAAGUCGUGUGUGAAAGGCGCGGGCUCAACCCGCGGACGGCACAUGAUACUGCGAGACUAGAGUAAUGGAGGGGGAACCGGAAUUCUCGGUGUAGCAGUGAAAUGCGUAGAUAUCGAGAGGAACACUCGUGGCGAAGGCGGGUUCCUGGACAUUAACUGACGCUGAGGCACGAAGGCCAGGGGAGCGAAAGGGAUUAGAUACCCCUGUAGUCCUGGCAGUAAACGGUGCACGCUUGGUGUGCGGGGAAUCGACCCCCUGCGUGCCGGAGCUAACGCGUUAAGCGUGCCGCCUGGGGAGUACGGUCGCAAGAUUAAAACUCAAAGAAAUUGACGGGGACCCGCACAAGCGGUGGAGUAUGUGGCUUAAUUCGAUGCAACGCGAAGAACCUUACCUGGGCUUGACAUGUAAUGAACAACAUGUGAAAGCAUGCGACUCUUCGGAGGCGUUACACAGGUGCUGCAUGGCCGUCGUCAGCUCGUGUCGUGAGAUGUUUGGUUAAGUCCAGCAACGAGCGCAACCCCUGUUGCCAGUUACCAGCACGUGAAGGUGGGGACUCUGGCGAGACUGCCCAGAUCAACUGGGAGGAAGGUGGGGACGACGUCAGGUCAGUAUGGCCCUUAUGCCCAGGGCUGCACACGUACUACAAUGCCCAGUACAGAGGGGGCCGAAGCCGCGAGGCGGAGGAAAUCCUAAAAACUGGGCCCAGUUCGGACUGUAGGCUGCAACCCGCCUACACGAAGCCGGAAUCGCUAGUAAUGGCGCAUCAGCUACGGCGCCGUGAAUACGUUCCCGGGUCUUGUACACACCGCCCGUCACAUCAUGGAAGCCGGUCGCACCCGAAGUAUCUGAAGCCAACCGCAAGGAGGCAGGGUCCUAAGGUGAGACUGGUAACUGGGAUGAAGUCGUAACAAGGUAGCCGUAGGGGAACCUGCGG